AACGAACGCUGGCGGCAUGCCUAACACAUGCAAGUCGAACGAGACCUUCGGGUCUAGUGGCGCACGGGUGCGUAACGCGUGGGAAUCUGCCCCUUGGUUCGGAAUAACUUCGGGAAACUGAAGCUAAUACCGGAUAAUGACGUAAGUCCAAAGAUUUAUCGCCAAGGGAUGAGCCCGCGUAGGAUUAGCUAGUUGGUGGGGUAAAGGCUCACCAAGGCGACGAUCCUUAGCUGGUCUGAGAGGAUGAUCAGCCACACUGGGACUGAGACACGGCCCAGACUCCUACGGGAGGCAGCAGUGGGGGAAUAUUGGACAAUGGGCGAAAGCCUGAUCCAGCAAUGCCGCGUGAGUGAUGAAGGCCUUAGGGUUGUAAAGCUCUUUUACCCGGGAAGAUAAUGACUGUACCGGGAGAAUAAGCCCCGGCUAACUCCGUGCCAGCAGCCGCGG
rnacentral:rRNA from 1 species